AGGGGAUGGGAGGAGGGGUUUACCCAAAUGGGAUUAAUAAAUGGGAGGCAAUUUGGUAAUGAAGUUUGGAGUUCUCCAAAGAAAUGGGUUCUAUUUGAAGAGGAAGAUAUGUCAAAGGGACCAAACACUUUGCCACCGAGAAGCAUCAGACAGUCUAGUUGAAUAGCAAGUACGCUGCAUUGUUGAGUUUGGUUCCAAACACAAAGAAGAAUGGUGCUGGAAUACAAGAGGUAGCGGCAAUGCAACUGAACUGGAAGCAGCUUUCAGAACAGGUUCCAUCCUGCACCCAAACCAGAGAAUCAUACUUAAAAGGAAGAAGAGGUUGAUACUGGCUUGAAGGUUAAUAUUGAAAUCUGUUGGGAGAAUGGAUGAGAAUGUAUGUGUGUGGGACUCAACUGAUAGUAGCAAUGCAGAUGGUGAUGGUGUGGAUCCUGACAUUUGUGUUAUACCCAAACUCAAUA